GACGAACGCUGGCGGCGUGCCUAAUACAUGCAAGUUGAGCGAUGAAGAUUGGUGCUUGCACCAAUUUGAAGAGCAGCGAACGGGUGAGUAACGCGUGGGGAAUCUGCCUUUGAGCGGGGGACAACAUUUGGAAACGAAUGCUAAUACCGCAUAAUAACUUUAAACAUAAGUUUUAAGUUUGAAAGAUGCAAUUGCAUCACUCAAAGAUGAUCCCGCGUUGUAUUAGCUAGUUGGUGAGGUAAAGGCUCACCAAGGCGAUGAUACAUAGCCGACCUGAGAGGGUGAACGGCCACAUUGGGACUGAGACACGGCCCAAACUCCUACGGGAGGCAGCAGUAGGGAAUCUUCGGCAAUGGACGAAAGUCUGACCGAGCAACGCCGCGUGAGUGAAGAAGGUUUUCGGAUCGUAAAACUCUGUUGGUAGAGAAGAACGUUGGUGAGAGUGGAAAGCGCAUCAAGUGACGGUAACUACCCAGAAAGGGACGGCUAACUACGU
rnacentral:rRNA from 1 species